rnacentral:rRNA from 1 species
CACGUAGGGUGCAAGCGUUGUCCGGAAUUAUUGGGCGUAAAGGGCUCGUAGGCGGUCCGUCACGUCGGGAGUGAAAACUCGGGGCUCAACCCCGAGCCUGCUUCCGAUACGGGCGGACUAGAGGUAGGUAGGGGAGAACGGAAUUCCUGGUGUAGCGGUGGAAUGCGCAGAUAUCGGGAAGAACACCCGUGGCUAAGGCGGCUCUCUAGUACGGUACUGACGCUGAGACGCGAAAGCGUGGGGAGCGAACAGG